GGAUUUGUCGGUUGAGCUUAACUGUCCGUAUUGACUUUAUGGAUUCUUACCUUCUGAAUAACCAGCAUGCUAUUAAGUUAAUGUGUUGGGGAAGCAGAUCUAUUACCUUGAAAAAAUUAGAGUGUUUAAAGCAGGCUCACGCUUGAAUACAUUAGCAUGGAAUAAUGAAAUAGGACGUUUGAUUCUAUUUUGUUGGUUUCUAGGAUCGACGUA
rnacentral:rRNA from 1 species